rnacentral:rRNA from 1 species
UACGUAGGGACCAAGCGUUGUUCGGAUUUACUGGGCGUAAAGGGCGCGUAGGCGGUUGACAAGUCACUUGUGAAAUCUCCGGGCUUAACUCGGAAACGGCCAAGUGAAACUGUCAUGCUAGAGUGCAGAAGGGGCAAUCGGAAUUCUUGGUGUAGCGUGAAAUGCGUAGAUAUCAAGAGGAACACCUGAGGUGAAGACGGGUUGCUGG